rnacentral:tRNA from 1 species
AUGAUUAUGGCGAAAUAGGUAAACGCGGUUAGUUUAGGUCUAAUUUUUAUAUUGGUUCAAUUCCAAUUAAUCAUA